UUACUUGUUAUGGUAGUGGGACCGGCGCGCGCAGGAAAGACGAGCUUACUGAAAUCAUUAAACGGAGAAGAGUUUGACCCAAAAGAAGACAGCACUGAUGGGAUUCAGCUGCAGCGCACAUUUUGCAAGUCACAAGAAAACUGUUGGAGUAAGGAAAGUGACAAAGGAAUCUCAUACGCGGACUGCAUGGCUGAUAUUAUUCAUAAAAAUCUUCAAGGCGGAGAUGACAGCGAAGAAAUACACGAUGAAAACUUUGAAAAGGAGUCGGUAGAAUCCAGUAAAAGUCUCUUAAAGAAUGAUGACGAUGAUCGCGACGAGGAUCACGAUGAUGUUGAUAAUGCGAAUGAUGAUGAUGACGCGCAUGGUCAUGAUGAUGACAAAAUGAAUGCGAUUAAAGUCGAGUCUGAAGAAACGGAUGAAGAAGCUAACGAAGAGCUGGAAGUCAAAGAAUAUAUAAGCGAGAAAAGUACCGCAAUUCUCCCAAAAUUCAUUGAAGAAAAAGUAAUAUUCAAGUUAAGGGAUACCAAACUGAGUGAUAAGACGAACCGAGAGAAUGAAGUGUAUAUCAAAUCGCUAGACUUUGCUGGUCAGGCUGUCUACAAUGUCAUCCAUCCCAUAUUUCUAACUUCGAAAGCAGUUUUCAUUCUAGUUUAUAAUUUGAAAAACAUUCCACAUCAUCUCAUGAAAUCCAUAGUCGAGGAAGAUGGCGCAGAAAGAGAACUCGUAGAUCCCUUUGAGAUGACAAACAUGGAAAAUCUGGAGUUAUGGUUGUCCUGCAUUUCUUCCUAUACAGAUGCACAGAGAAUGGCAAAAAUAGGCGAAUUGUCAUUGCCUCCUGUAUUCAUAGCAGGGACUCACGCAGACAAAUUUGACGGUAAUCUUGAAGAUGCAAAAGAGAUUAUCCGAAAAAUAUACAAAUCUCUAAGUCCAAGCAAAAGACCAUCUGGCUGUCAUGUUGUGAGGAACCAAAUCUACACGGUGAAUAACAGAGUAUCCGGUAAUGGAGAAAUAAACGAUAAGUCCGUCAGAGAACUCAAGGCAGAUAUUGAAAAGUUGUCAAAGUCUCUUCCACAUAUGGAUGAAGAUAUUCCUGUCAACUGGCUGUGGUUUGAAGAAGUGCUGUCAAACCUUGUAGAGAAGGAAAACAAGAAAUACAUCACAAUCGAUGAAGCUUUGAAGAUAGCCAAUAAGUGUAAGGUGAACACAAGUGCCGAAUCCAAAGAGUUCCUCACCUUGUUAAACUAUUUGCACGACUUGAAGACUGUUAUCUACUUUGAGGAAACUAAGAAAGUAUUCAUUGAUACGGAAUGGCUGGUCAAAGUGUUUACAAAGGUCAUCGAGGUCAGGCCGGUUGAGAAACGAGAUGGCUUCGACGAGUCCUGGGAUAAACUGGAAGAGAAAGGUGUCUUGGACAGAGCCUUGGUGGAACACGUAUGGAAACGCUUAGUUGAUGAACAAAACACAAUUGAUGCUCUUCUUUUAAUUAUGGAGAAAUUCUCACUUAUUUGUCGUUGGAAUGCUAGCGAAGGAGAAGAAGUGUACCUUGUUCCAUGCAUGUUGUGUAACAGCAAGAAGCGAGAAGACAUCGCGAAGUGUCUAGAACAUGAGAAAUCGUCAACGAUGGUCAUUCGUUUUAAUAUUUCCCAUGUAGCGCUAGGUAUAUUUCCUAGGCUUUUUGUAGCUAUUGCUGAAGAAGGAAAGAAAAUAUGGCCAAAUCUACGACAACCAAUACUUCACAAAAAUAUCUGCAGGAUUUCCAAGAUUGGCAAAGAAAGAAAGCUUGAUAUCUGUAUUAUUCAGUCAAGCUUUCAAACAAUCAGUGUAACAGUCUGCAACAAACAGAACAUCGAUGGGCAACGAGUCACUGAGUUCUGCCAGCACUUUCGUAAAUUGCUUGAUCAAGUCUUUGUUGACAUGUGUCGAAACUUUCCUUGGAUGCAAAACAUGACAUUCGAGUAUGGAAUACUCUGUCCUGUUUGUACAACCUCACCAAACAAAUGCAAGUCUCACGAGAUAGAGGGAUGCACCCGGGAUACGUGCCUUCACUUUGUGAACGAAGAAGAAUUGAGCGUCGAUACACCGGAGUGCGAGAAGGACGUUGCAAAUCUAGAUAACGUGAUUGAGGAGAAGGCAUAUGUAUACUGGUUCCCAAGACAAGUGGUAGGUCCAACGUUAGACUUCACUGAAAACCAGAAGCGAUGGUUGGUGAUUAGCAUAUGCUUGAACAUUGUUCUUCUUCCACCUUUACGAAAGUUCCUAGAACGGAAUAUGCUGAAACACUACACUAAACUGAAGACCAGCUACAACAUCCACAACCAAGUCCACGAAGGACGACUUGUUAAUGACGCAGGCCAAGCAUUGAAAUAUUGUAGUAUAAACAACAAUGGCACAAAGAAUGUAAAAGACUACGACUACAAUGUUACUUCUGCUAUUGACUUGGCCAAGCUGUACUUGAAAUCUCACAUGGCUCAAUUCACAGGAUUCAAUGAUACUUGCGAUCUAUCUGCAGUCCUUGGUGUUCUUUCCUCUGCUAGUGUCUUUUCUGCUGACAUUCAAGACUUCUCAAGUAAAGUACGAAAAGAUCUCUGAAGCUGUCAUCUGAAGAUGAAAACACGGUAGCUGAUCAACUGAAAGAAUGGGAAAACAACUGCGUAGAAAUCUGUAUAGCCAACACAGUUCCACCAGAGUUGGUAAAGGAUAUCGAAGAUAAAGUGUCCCAGUU
rnacentral:misc_RNA from 1 species